AGUGAACGCUGGCGGUAGGCCUAACACAUGCAAGUCGAACGGCAGCACAGUAAGAGCUUGCUCUUACGGUUGGCGAGUGGCGGACGGGUGAGGAAUACAUCGGAAUCUACUUUUUCGUGGGGGAUAACGUAGGGAAACUUACGCUAAUACCGCAUACGACCUACGGGUGAAAGCAGUGGAUCUUCGGACUUUGCGCGAUUGAAUGAGCCGAUGUCGGAUUAGCUAGUUGGCGGGGUAAAGGCCCACCAAGGCGACGAUCCGUAGCUGGUCUGAGAGGAUGAUCAGCCACACUGGAACUGAGACACGGUCCAGACUCCUACGGGAGGCAGCAGUGGGGAAUAUUGGACAAUGGGCGCAAGCCUGAUCCAGCCAUACCGCGUGGGUGAAGAAGGCCUUCGGGUUGUAAAGCCCUUUUGUUGGGAAAGAAAAGCAGCAGGUUAAUACCCCGCUGUUCUGACGGUACCCAAAGAAUAAGCACCGGCUAACUUCGUG
rnacentral:rRNA from 1 species